rnacentral:snRNA from 1 species
GGAUGUGAGGGCGAUCUGGCUGCAACCUCUGUCACCCCAUUGAUUGCCAGGGUUGAUUCGGCUGAUCUGGCUGGCUAGGCGGUGUCCCCUUCCUCACCGCUCCAGUGCGCUCGGUGGAAGAGGACGACCUUCCCCCAAUAAAGGAGGACCGGUCUUCGGUCAAGGGCAUGCUAGAACCUCCAAACAAGCUCUCAAAGAGAAGAGAAACAGGGAGAGAGGGAAUAUGUGAGCAUGCCAGGGCCUCCAGCCAUUGCAAAUGAACGCCAGACACAUGUGCCACUGGGCUUCUGGCUCUACGU